GAUCUCCUUUAAUGAUCAGAUGACCUGCCUAGUGGAUGAGGGAGAAACUGUGGAUAUUGUCUACCUGGACUUCAGCAAAGCCUUUGACACCAUCUCCC